ACUCCUGCGGGAGGCAGCAGUGGGGAAUAUUGCACAAUGGGCGCAAGCCUGAUGCAGCCAUGCCGCGUGUAUGAAGAAGGCCUUCGGGUUGUAAAGUACUUUCAGCGGGGAGGAAGGCGAUAAGGUUAAUAACCUUGUCGAUUGACGUUACCCGCAGAAGAAGCACCGGCUAACUCCGUGCCAGCAGCCGCGGUAAUACGGAGGGUGCAAGCGUUAAUCGGAAUUACUGGGCGUAAAGCGCACGCAGGCGGUCUGUCAAGUCGGAUGUGAAAUCCCCGGGCUCAACCUGGGAACUGCAUUCGAAACUGGCAGGCUAGAGUCUUGUAGAGGGGGGUAGAAUUCCAGGUGUAGCGGUGAAAUGCGUAGAGAUCUGGAGGAAUACCGGUGGCGAAGGCGGCCCCCUGGACAAAGACUGACGCUCAGGUGCGAAAGCGUGGGGAGCAAACAGGAUUAGAUACCCCAGUAGUCCCAUGAU
rnacentral:rRNA from 1 species